CACCGCGGUUAUACGAGAGGCCCAAGUUGAUAGACAUCGGCGUAAAGAGUGGUUAAGUAACCCCUCCCCACUAAAGCCGAACGCCUCCAAGACUGUAAUACGUGUUCGGAGGUAUGAAGCCCAACUACGAAAGUGGCUUUAAAAAAACUGACCCCACGAAAGCUGAGAAA
rnacentral:rRNA from 1 species